UACGUAGGGGGCGAGCGUUGUCCGGAUUUACUGGGCGUAAAGGGCGUGUAGGCGGUUGGACAAGUCUGGUGUGAAAUGCAUGGGCUCAACUCGUGCGCUGCGCUGGAAACUGUUCGACUGGAGUGCCGGAGGGGCGACUGGAAUCCCCGGUGUAACGGUGAAAUGUGUAGAUAUCGGGGGGAACACCUGUGGCGAAGGCGGGUCGCUGGACGGUAACUGACGCUGAGACGCGAAAGCGUGGGGAGCAAACAGG
rnacentral:rRNA from 1 species